GGAACAAUUAUGUGUACAUCUGAGAUGAGAAGCUGCCCAGCAAGUAGAUCACUGUGAACUGCUGUAACCUCACAGCCUUCAUCCACUGCAUGGCAGCUCCCUGGAGCCCACCAAUAAGAUUUAAUCAGUAUUGAAGAAGUAAUGAAAAGGAAGAUUGAUUCCCGGGAUAAUAAAGCUACCCAUUUAUGAACAAGUGACUAGCCUUUAGAAGCUGGGGCUAAUCGCGGGAGCUUACCCCGCUCCUCUGAUUCAAACCGCCAACCUUUUGGUCAGCAAGUUCAGCAUCUCAGCGGUUUAAUCUGCUGCACCACCAGGGGGCCUAUGAUGCAGUGUGGGAUCAAUUUCUGCUUGGACUCCAGAAGAAUCUUUCAAUUACCGUAUAUACUUGAAGAUAAGCCAAGUUUUUCUGCCCUUUUUUGAGCUGAAAAAGCCUCCCUCGGCUUAUAAUGGGAUCAAGGUCAAGCCGAGCAGCGGAGCCUGGAGGCCAUUGCUUGCAAUAUAUGAUAUAUUUCUCUCCUCCCUUAUCAGUGUGUUUUAUUUUCCAAAGCCUCCCUCUCUCUUAACCAAGGGAAUGUUUUGAACAGAGACAGAAGCACUUGCAAGUCAGGAAGAAGAAUAUAUUAAUAUAUUAACCCAUUAAUCUUAUAAAAGGAUUUCCCCCUGAAAUAUUUGUAAAUCUCUGCUACAGAGAUAUAGGCAUUUCCCCCUGCAAACCCUUGCAAUCCCUAUGCACCUAAAUAUUUUUAUCUAUCUAUCUAUCUAUAUUAAUUUUAUACAUGAAUUCCCCCCUCAUAUGUUUGCAAGUCUUUGCAAAUCCUAUAUGCACAUAGAUAUCAAGAGAUAUCCAUGUACUGUAUCUGUAUAUCUGUAUCUAUAUGUAUACAUAAUUUUUAUAUAUAAAUUUUCACCUCACAUGUUUGCAAGUCUUUGCAAAUCCUAUACACAUAUAAUUAUCUAUAUAUAUAGAGAGAGGUUUAAAUAGAUAUACUUUAUAUGAAUAUAGAUAUAUAGGGCUUGCAAAUAUUGCAGGGGAAAUGCACACACACACACACACAGAGAUGUCUGGAUAGAUAUAAACAUAAAUAUAUAGGGCUUGCAAAUAUUGCAGGAGGGAAAUGUACAUAUAGAGAUAGAGGAUUUGCAAAUGUUUCAGGGGGAAAUACAUAUGUGAAAUUAGUAUAUAUAAAUAUAGAUCUAUAUCCAGCUCUGCAAUGUUUAUAUAGACAUUGAAUGUUUGCCUGUUACAAUGUUGGAGGCUGGCCUGAGUCCCCAUGGGGAGAUAGGGCAGCAUACAAAUGAAGUUGUUGUUGUUGUUGUUAUUAUUAUUAUUAUUAAGUUAAUACCAUAUUGUUUUUGUUGACCCUACUUUUCCACUUACAGAGCUAGUUUACUGUUUUUCAUUGAAAUGUGGUAAAUAUUCAAAAACAUUUAAUCUACUGAUGCCUCAAUUAUGGUAAUUUUAUUGGUAUCUAUUUUUAUUUUGAAAUUUACCAAUAGCUGCUGCAUUUCCCACCCUCCGCUUAUACUCAAGUCAAUAAGUUUUCCCAGUUUUCUGUGGUAAAAUUAGGUGCCUCGGCUUAUAUUCGGAUCAGCUUAUACUUGAGUAUAUACGAUACUUCCUCCUCUUCUCAAAUGGAGCACAAACCUUUCCUUGAAGUCUUAUUGACAUUAUCCACUCAGAUUUUGCAUUAAAGCUUCCUACUGCUUUGGCUAUAUCUUGCCUCACUAUUAAUGCCAAUUCCAUUUCAUCUUAGAUUAUCAUUUUCUGGCUUUAAAAAACCUGUAACUAUACGACUAAACAUAUCCAAUUCCUGUUCACUUAGCCUUGCUUACACUAAGCAAUGCAAUGUUUGUACGUGUCUUUUUUUCCUAUGCCUGAUUUAAUUUCCCCAUAUUCUACAUUUCUGUAAUACCAUAUUUGCUCAAGUCUAAGGUGCACCUCUUUUGGCUAAAUUAUUUAUCUAAAAUCUGCAUGCUUCUUAGACUCAAUGGCACAUUAGAUUUGUUUAUGCACCGUUUUACUAUUUCUCCAGCUAAUGGGGCUUGGUGGUUGCGGCAUUCCCAAACCACCAAACCUCUGGGAUCCUGGUGCCCCAAGCCACCCUCAAGAUACACAAGGGGACUCCACUUCUGCUGCCCACCCACCCACAUGGAGCCCCUUUGCCUGCCACCAACCUGAGUUCAGACUCACACAAUCUAAAAGCACCAUCUCUUUGGAGAGUUUGGAAGGCUCUGCUCCAAGAAGGAUGCAGCCUUCAUCCCCUUCUUCCUCUCCUUCCCCUUCUUCUCCUCCUUCCUAUGAUGUGAAGGUAAGAGGAAAGAAAGAGGAGGUGGAGGCUGUUUCCCUCCCUUGAGCUCAGGCAAGGCAGUGUUGUUUCCCUGGGAUCUCCAGCACCUCCAAGAUGACCCUCUCCCCUGCCCAUGCUGCUAAGCUUGCCAUCCUUUCAUUGAGCUCUUUGUUGGUAAUUGCUGGUAAUGACCUCAAGAAAGACGGACCAAUAAUGAGCUCAACAGGAGGAUGGCAGGCCCAGUGGUUCCUGCCUUCUAAGCAAAAGCCUGUCUGACCUGAGAGACCUAACAGCAGCACAACCUCCUCUCUCAAGGAGAUGCACCGUGGAAAGAUAAUGCCAUAAUGGGGGAUUAAAGUAUAUUAAACAUUAAUUUUAAGAUAAAUAAGCAUAAUGUAGUCAGCAGUGUUUUUCAAUUUUAAAAAUAAUAAUUUUAAAGCAAGAUGUGUGGAGGCGUAAAUUGAUUUAGCUAAGAAAUCAUUCUGUGAUAGCUUACAGAAUUUCACAUCUAGAAGCCUUCAUAGGAUACAUUCUCUCAUUUUUGUUUCUCUUCCCCCCUCCUCUAAACCCUUUUCAAAUUACUGGGAUUCUAGGGAGGAGGCCCUGGGGACUGCAAAAUAACCUCAAUGUUGUAUGUAAGGCCCAUCAGUCACAAUUCCUACCCCUGGUGUACACUAUUCUCAUUGCUGAGUAAGGGAUUAUUUGCUAUGAGGUUUCACAUAACUAAAAGGCUACACACACAAGAAAAAGUUCCCAAGUAGAGAGUACCUGCAUGUAUGUGUUAAACCAUGUGGGAGCACAGUGACUUAUAAAUCACAUUUGACAAUUGUACAUUGUAGUCCCCUCAGGGAGAUAGGGCGACCUACAAAUAAAGUAUUAUUAUUACAUUAUUAUUUAUGCACUAAGAAGCUGUGAGACACCUCUAGCUUCUGUAAAUAUGUAGCAGAUUAGCACUGCACACAAAUACACAAAAUCCUACCUAUGUAGCUUCUUACCAGACACUUCUAUCUUAUGUGAACCUUUGUAGACUUUAACUUACUUGUGAGUAAAUUCAAAUAACCACAGUAGUAGAGAACAUGUUUCUGAUUCACUGUGCACAAGCUUAGGGUGUAGGUCCUGUUACAGAAAAUUCAGAUCUAUAUCUCCCCCUUCUGUCCAGCAAUAUUAUUCUUAGGAAAGUUGCCCAUUGCUACACCCAUAGAUUUUAAUUAAACCACUACUGAAAAUAAAUGUAUCAAAUUUCAUGAAACCUUACAUUAGGGCAUCCAUCUAAAUCCCAUAUAGCAAAAUAUCUAACUACUUUCUAUGUGUGAAAUAAUAAUAUUUAUUUAUAUACCGCUCCAUCUCCUCGAGAGGACUCAGGGCGGUUUCCAGCAUAUACAAAACAGUCAGUUGUCAAAACAACAUACAACGUCAUGAAUAAACAAACAUAAUAAAACAUAAUAAAAACAAUAUCAUAAAACUUCCCGAAAGCCUUUUAGAAUAUGAAAGAUAUAUGAGAAGAGUAACAGCUAAAUAAUAAUAAGCCUCAAACUGAAAGAUUUUGUGAGAUCUAAAUAAAAAGUUUUAAUCUUAUAAUUUUAAAACAAAUUCAGCUUCAAACUAAAAGUUAUACAGCAUAGUUGUUACAGCCAAAACCUGCAUGUUCUCCUUUCUUCUCACCUGGUAAUACUUGUGGUGCAACAUGACAAUGCUACAAUUUUAUCUGAAACCAGUUCGUUUUCACUGGCCUUCAUGAGCAAGAAUGGAAAAACUUGUUUAGCAAUGACUUAACAGUAUGCAUUUUGUAAGAGGCAUACUGGGGGAAAUGAAAAUGGUAGCUAAUAAACAAAAGAUUUUAGCUAGAUAGGGGUGGGAAAACCCCAGUCCCUCUCCAGACCUUUUCACCUUCAGAUCCUCUCUGCCCUAUUCAACAUGACCACUAGUAAAGAACUUUGGAAGCUGCCAUUCAAAACAUCAAUGAGUCAAGGCUCUCCCACACUCACACCUUAGACAUGUAUUUUGUACUUAUAUUGUAUCCUAGGAGGGAAAAAAUAACUCCAAGUUGGUGGACAUAGAAUUUCUAAUGAGAUCAUAUUAUCACGACUAAAUGUAGUAUUUAAUGGUACAUGGUAAGGAAAGGAAAGGAAAAGAAAAAAAAGAAAAAUGGACAUUUGUAGAAAAUAAUGCUUUUAUGGCAGAAACUGCUAAUUUUGUUCAUAAUUGAAACUGCCCCUAAAUCAGAUAGGUAAGGAUAUGUAUACCCUGUUUUCCCAAAAAUAAGACAUCCCCUGAAAAUAAGACCUAGUAGAGGCUUUGCUGAAUUGCUACAUAUAAGGCCUCCCCCAAAAGUAAGACCUAGCAAAGUUUUUGUUUGGAAGCAUGCCCGCUGAACAGAACACCAGAGCAUGCAGGAUUGGUAAAUGUACGUGCCAUAGAGUGUUGUACAUGGAAAUAAUGGUAGUAACAAGAAAUUCUUGAUAGGAUUCACAGUUUGUCUGGUUAUGCUGGUUUGUGAUGACAACUACUGUACAGUAUAUAAUAAAUGUUCAAAUUUUUUUGUUCAACAAUAAAUGUGAAUUCUUCUUCAUGGAAAAAUAAGACAUCCCCUGAAAAUAAGACCUAGCGCAUCUUUGGGAGCAAAAUAUAUAUAUUUUAAUCUGUUUUAUUUUUGGGGAAACACGGUAUGUGUAAUUUUUAAAAGUGCAUAGGUUGCAGAGGAAGCAGGUUGCUAGAUGCUCUCUCUGCUCUGACGAUGGGCUGCCAGGAUGAGGUAGAUAAAUAAUUCAUGAUUUUCCCUCUGUCUGCAAUACCUCAUCUCAAGAAUGUUUAAUCCCAGAUGGUCACAAUCCAGUAGCAAAGCUUAUCUGAAGGAACAAGUACUUAUGUGCUGGUACAACUGUACCAGAACCUUCUACUUUACUUUAUUGCUGCAAAUGUUUGCAUUCAUAGGACAGGCCACCUGUCAAUCACCAUUAAGUUUGGUUCCGCCCCUUGUUCAGGGCUCUGGGAGGGAAGGAGCCAUUUUUAAGUUAGUCUCACUUAGGAAGCUCAGCUACAGGACGUAGACCAGCUCGUCCCGUAAAAAGCUUCAUAUACCAGACUACCGGGGGAUAAAGAACACCAGGGUUAAAGAAUACCAGGGAUAAAGACCAUCCGGGGAUACAGAAAGAACAACAGCACAGAAACAUCUGCAAGCCAUUGGCUGGUAGGUCCACUCAAUAACCAGACGCACUUGGAGUUGGCAGUGGGUGCCAGACUAGCUAGGCCCAGAUAAGAGAUAGCCUGGGAGGGGUUAUAAGAGGGUUUUCACAGUUAUUCAAAGCCAAUCGCCUGUCCUGUGGGACAAGACUCCUUGAAGAUUUAUUAUUUGUUUGUCAAUAAAGACUUUGUUAUUUCUUUAAAGACUUCAAGGCCAUCUUUUCAGGGAAAUUCCUCAACGACCCUUCUUUAGGCACCCUGGCUUCCCGCUGGGCGUAAAGCGUACGUCCUAUAUAAUAGACAAUCAGUCAUAGGCCCAGCGUGUGACAGAACAACUUAAGACAUGGAGCUGGAAUUUGUGAUCUCCUAGAAUAGUAGUUCCCAAUCUUUGGUCCUCCAGUUUUGGAUUCCCAGAAAUCCCAUCCAUCUUACCAGCUGUUAGAGGAAUUGUGGCAGCUGAAGUCCAAAACAUCUGGAGGACCAAAGUUUGGAACCACUGUUCUACAAGUUUCUGUACUGCAAUUCAAAGCAGUAUCUAUAGGCAGCACAAAUAGUGAGGAAUUGUGUGAGUUCUACUUGCGUAAUAUCAGUUGAGCCCAAUUGCCCAUUCCAGGAAGGUAGGUUACAGAUUAGAAAGGUAAAGAAUAUUCAGUUCAUUAAAAAUGGUAAAGGAAAUAUGUAGCUCAAGUUGUAGAAACCCUAACAAGAUGAAUCCUGAACUGACAAGGAUCUUCACGGUUUAUUACUUUUUCUGUGCAAACCUUGCAUGUUAUGUGUGUUAGUCUUUAGAACCGGCAUUGUCUACACAGGAAAUAGCAUUUUCUGUGCAGAAAGUAUUGUCUACUGCACAAAAAUACUGCUUUCUGUGCAAAUAUACCAUAUGUAUGUAUGCACACCAAUUGUGCAAAGAACAAGUCCCCAGCAACAGUAUUUUCUGCACACACAAUAUUUCUUCACAGGAAUAUUAUUUCAUGCACAGAAAAUGCUUUUUUCUGCAUUAAAAUACAUGAUAUGUCUUUUGCAAAGUAGAAAUCCCACACUAAAUAGUCUUGAAAGACUAUACAUUUUUGACGACUUUGUUAAAGCAAGAAGAUAACUGCUUAGAAUACUCACCGCUUCCUUCAAGUAUAUAAUUAGUGAAGAAUUGUAAACCUGCUACAGAUGAGGGAAGCCUUUUGGUUAAAAAAAAUCUGAUCCAUCUUUAUUUUCCAUGCAAUUAGAAUACUCCAUGUCUAAAUACACAAAACCACAGCCAUUGCGUCUAAUUUCCCCAUUCAGUUAAAUGAAGCAUUGUUUAAAACAUGGGAGCUUAGAAUUGGAAGCUUUGUGAUUUAGGCAUCUUCUACAAAGCAAUUAUAAUUAAGCCUUCAAGAAGUAUGCGAGUGUGUGUCUAAUUCUUAAGAGUUGGAGAGCAUGAAGAAUGAAAUCUCUAAUCCUUGGGACACAUACCAAAAACUUCAUUGUCUUCUGAGGGUUCGUGAGUUAGCUGGGCUUCUUUGGAGCUUGCUUUAUUUUCAUCUUCUUCCCCUUUUGUGUCAGGAUUCUGCAAAGAUACAACACACGACUUAGUUCACAAGGCAUCCAAAAAAAGUUUUAUCAACCACAAACAUAAUGCUUUAGGCAGCCUUUAAUUUAUAUGAAAAAGCUGCUUUGAAGUCGGAUCUAUAAUUCCAGGCACGUGAGCUGGAAAAAAAAUGCUCACACUCCAAAAAUGGAUCUAUAUUACUUCAAAGACAUAAGAGAAAAGCUGAAUAUCCUUUUGUGCAGUAGAAGUGUUGAAUCCUGGCUUACGUGUUUUCUUUGGGUUAUUGAAAGAGAUGGACUGAACUGCACGGCAUUUCCUCUGCAAUGUUAUGACAGGCAGAGAGGAAAAUAUGUUGAAAUUGGUUGAUCACACAUCUUGAAGCCUAAACUCCUGGGUGCUGAAAUUCUUGAAAUACAGAUGCACAAAGCUUUUUCUUCUAGGUUAUGGAUGCUGUUAUUUACUGCAUUCCAUACACGUCCUGGAAUAGCUCCAACACUGCAUGACAGCUAAGCAUCCAACUUUACUGAGCAUCCAACAAAGAACAAGAGUGUACCUUGUGAACCCUGCUGCCUAUAGGAUAUUUCAUGUGCUUCUUAUACAUCAUGUCAUAUUUAAUAAACAUUCCCCCAUACUUUAAGCACAGUGUUUGUCUUAAAUCCAUGAAACCGAUAUACAAUCCAAACAAAGCUGUUGCACUUCAUUAUCCAUGUCAAGCUGUCCCUCCAUUGAAACCAAGGACGUGGACCUUUGGCAUAUCCAGAAGCCAAUGUUUUGCUGUGGGGACUAAAUGUGGAGCUUGUUCCAAAAGGUACCAAAACCAUCUGAAUAAAAUUUACAGGAAUAAAAAAAACAAAACCAUGCUGCGGAUAUGCAUUCAUUGGCUACAAAACACAAUUCUCUAAAACCUGUAACAGGACCGGGCUAUGGCACAGCUGGUUAGUAGCCAGCUGCAAUAAAUUACUACUGACUGAUAAGUCAUGAGUUCGAGCCAGCCCAAGUUGGAGUAAACUCCUGACCAUUAAUAGUCUAGCUUGCUGUUGACCCAUGCAGCGCAAAAGAUAGUUGCAUCUGUUGAGUAGGAAAAUUAGGUACCGCUUUAUGAAGGGAGGCUAAUUUAACUAAUUUAUGACACAUUUGGGAUAUGAAGGGUGGAAUAUAAAUACUGUAAAUAAAUAAAUAAAGUGAUUUGAUACAUUUCUAUAGUUUUGAUCUGUACACAAUAUUCUGCUCCUAGCCAACAAUGUGCUGCCACCUAUAACUCAUGUUUCAUUUUUUAAUGUGGUGUUUUUUAGAAACUACACAAAUGGCUUGCCAAAAAUGGCAAAAUAAAUGAACAACAGUACCAAAAUGAAAAUUUACUUCUGGUUUUGAAAAAGACGUAUAUUUUUCUCACCUCAAUUAAAGUGAGCAAACCCUUGUGCAUAUACUCUAUAUCUGUCUAUCUAGAUGCAGCAUGUGGGCCAGUGGCUGUGUUUUCAGCUAUGGGCAAGGAAUUGAAAGCCUCUCUCUGAUCCAGCUAAUUUUCUUUCCCAGUGUCCCAAGAUGCCCUUCACACCGUUGUCCACAUUUUGAUGAAAAGUGCCGAGAAAGUACAUGCCCCUCAUUACAAUCUUUUAAUGACACAGAGACAUCCUUGACAUGUUGAUGUUGAAUUUUAAUGACAGUCUGUAAAUCUCAUAGUUAUGGCUUCUUAAUUCCUACUAAAGUUCAAAUGUUACGGAUUUUAAUACAAAAUAAAACUGUGAAUCUCACCACAUAUAGUUAUGCGCCUUUUUAUAAUUAGAUGAUAAUUAUUGGUACUUUGUGCAAUUAAGCUGUUUAGGUUGACAUGCAGUGCUAUUAUUUGCAUGUCUGGUCUGACCAAGCUAAAUACUAUUUAAAUAUGUAAAUAUACCCUUUGUCUCUUAAACCAGGAGGUGCUGCAUUCCAUGUUGGGGGAAGAGCUCCUGCCUUCUAUUACUCUUCCAGAUUAAAUUUGUGCAAUGCCAAUUCUGCAUUUCAAAUAAAAUUUAAAUAUUGAAGUGGCAUUUUAAAUCAUGGGCUUUCAACCGUAUUUUUUAUUAUUUACACGGUUUUAAAUCUGGUAGAUUACUUUUAUUGUGCACCACUCUAAGACUGGUGGAUAAAAGUGUAGCAAAUAAACAAAUGCAUAAAUGCAUUGCAUAGUUUUUAGGAUGGGCAUGAGCUCAAGGGUCACGAUUAUUUUGAAGUGAGGGUGAAUUUGGAGGUGGGGGAAUUAGUUAAAAUACUAAGAAACAUGUUAGUUACAGUAGAGUCUCACUUAUCCAACAUAAACGGGCCAGUAGAACAUUGGAUAAGCAAAAAUUUGGGACCCAGUUCUAAACAUGAAUUUCACUGAUGUUUCAUAGACACCUAAUACACAUAACCUGAAGGUAAUUUUAUAGUAGUUUUAACAAUUUUUUGAGUGAAACAAACUUUGUGUUCACUGAACCAUUAGGAAGCAGAGGUGCCACUAUUUCAGCCAGCCAGGUUUUGGAAUAUUUCACAUUCUAGAAUCGCAGAUAAGGACUGUUCAACCUGUAGUAGAAAUACAUAUUCUUUUUCAAAAGAAUCCACACUCUGGCUGCAAAUGUAUUUAAAUCUUCUUACAGGUAAUUCUCAUGAAGUAAGAGGGCUCAUCCACACAAGCCACAAAAUCUGCACUGGCCUUGUGCACAAUAAGUACAUAUGAAAAUAUGUGCUUGCAUGCUAACGGACUAAUACAGAAAAUGUGACAAAAGAACUUACCCUAGGGCGGUUCCAGACAACAGUUUAAACUGGGAAUUAUAGUGUUUUAAAAAUGCGGAAGUUCCUGGCUUCUAGUCUACACACGCCACAGAAAGCGCGUGCUUUCUGGGACGGGUGUCCAGAUGCCAUGCUGUGCUUUCAGCAGGGUAAAUGGAUACAAAAUAAAACCCCUUAAAAAGUCUUUAAAAAAGCAAAAUAACUUUUCCUUCUCUGGCCCUCUUCUGGGUCAUACCAAUUAUGCGCCUGGAGGGGGAGGGGCAGGAGUGAUCCCCCCCCCCUUUUCGAGGCGCAACAUUGGUAUGAUCCAGGAGAGGGCCAAAGAAAGGGGCAUGGUGGCCAGAUGAAUUAUUUUGCUUUUAAAAAGGCCUUUUAUGGGGUUUUGGGAGGGGGUGGAGGCUAUCUUGGGUUUCUUGGCCUCCAAGAGAUCAAAAAUCCCAAAACAGCUGUGUGGAUUGGGACCGGAAGUAGUGCAACGCAUUUCCUGGGUCCAAUCCACCCAGCCUCUGUAACUGGAAAGACACAGUUCUUUUGAAAGCUCCUGUCUUUCCAGCUGACAAUCUUGAAACAAAGGAGAGUUUUCCUCCUUUGUGCCAAAUGAACUCACUUUUCUGUGGGACAUCAUCUGGACAACCCCCUUAAAGAAGCGGGAACUCUUGCUUCUAAGGGGCUGUCUGAUGUGCCCCUAGUUUCAUGAAACAUGGACAUAACAUAUUUAGUCUUAUUUCAAUCCUCCUCAAAAAAGAACAGACUUUCUAAUGUGUUAUAUGUGUUUGUUAUAAUAAACUGCUGUUCAGGAGAUGCAGAAGAGUGUAUUGUCUAUCUCAUUAAUUUGUUUUGAAAACUAAAUGACAAAUCUGGUUCAAAAUUUUCUGGAUGUUAAUGCUUAGUAGCAGCCUUACUCAUAAUCACAUGCUAAGGUUCUUCCACAUAAAACAAGAAUGAAAUGUUUUGUUCCCAAAAUGAAUCAAAGCACCCUUAAGCUAUUUCGGUCUCAGUGGUGUUUUGUGUUUCUUAAGCCAUGGAAGUAUCUUACAAGAAUGUCUUUAGUGCUUCUCAGAUGUUGUAGUGCUCUCUUGUGUCUAGUUCAAUAGCUGCAGUUUUCAGGAUUAAGAUAUCUGUGAAAUGUAAUUAUUUGUCAUCAGAGAGAGGAAAAAUAAUUGCUUUUGAAUGUAAAUCACUGAUCGUAGGAUAACUAAACUGCUGUAUUUUCUUCUAAAUAGCUUUUUAGAACUGAAUACUGUUUCUGGGGCCAUUUGGAAAUCUAUGUUUCCCGGACACAAAUCUACAGGAGCAAUAACAACUUCAUUAAUAUGUUACAAAACUGGCAGAGAGGAAGCUAUCAAAUGUACAACUGCUGUGAGAAAAACACUUUGUCUGCCUCCAUCUUUCACAGAGUUGCCUGCAUAACAUAUACAGGCAUCAGAAUGAGUACAAACAGGACGUUUUUCACAUUUUAUAUAAAAAACUAAGGCUGCCUACAUAUAGCUUUAUACCAUCAGAUUACAUCUAUGAGUAAUAACAUGAUGCAUAUUAAUGCACCUGUAACUUUCUAUUGUGUUUUUUUGUUAUUUUUAAAAUGUUAUAUAUUUUCUUUGUGAUAUUGUGAUUUAUGUGUGUUCAGAAAGCAUGGUAGAAAUUGGACUUAUAAACAAAUAUGAGAUUUCUGUAUGAAAACCAAUGCCUGGAGCAGGGAUGGUCAACAUUUGUUUUUUUGGUUUAUUUUAGGGAAAAGGUAGGUUUUAUACAGUCUGUUUACUUCUUUCUCAGACAUGGUUGCUCAAUGCAGCAUCUAUUGCUAAUUGCUGUGCCCUGUGUGUGAUGUCAGUGCCUGAAAGAAUCAAAGGUAAUAAGGACAAAAAACACACCCACACUGUAGAAUCUAUGCAGUUUGGACCAUAUUAACUGCCAUGGCUCAAUGUUAUGGGAUCAUGGGAGUUACAGCUUUAUAAGGUAGUUAGCCUUCUCUGCCAAAGAGUACUGAAUAAAGUGGUGCCAAGCUGCAAUGAUUCUACAGUGUAGAUGCACCCAGAGAUAGCUACUGCAGAUCUUUUUGAAUCUCAUUAGAAAAUCCCUGUUUGUGAAAUGCUAAGAGAAGAGAUAACCUGGGUUGCUGUGAGUUUUCCAGGCUGUAUGGCCAUGUUCCAGAAGCAUUCUC